UGGCGCUGAUAUCGCCCUUAACACAUGCAAGUCGAACCAGAAAGGGAGCAAUCCUGAGUAAAGUGGCGUACUGGUGAGUAACACGUGGAUAUCUACCUCCUGGUGGGGAAUAACCUGGGGAAACCUGGGCUAAUACCGCAUAAGUUCGAGAGAAGAAAGGCGCAAGUCGCCGGGAGAGGAGUCCGCGGUCGAUUAGGUAGUUGGCGGGGUAGAAGCCCACCAAGCCAAAGAUCGAUAGCCGGCCUGAGAGGGCACACGGCCACACUGGCACUGAAACACGGGCCAGACUCCUACGGGAGGCAGCAGUGGGGAAUCUUGCACAAUGGGGGAAACCCUGAUGCAGCGACGCCGCGUGAGCGAUGAAGCCCUUCGGGGUGUAAAGCUCUUUCGGCAGGAACGAUAAUGACGGUACCUGCAGAAGAAGCUGCGGCUAACUACGUGCCAGCAGCCGCGGUAAUACGUAGGCAGCGAGCGUUGUUCGGAAUUACUGGGCGUAAAGAGUGUGUAGGUGGUGUCGUAAGUUUGGUGUGAAAUCUCCCGGCUUAACUGGGAGGGUGCGCCGAAGGCUGCGAUGCUGGAGUAAGGGAGAGGAAAGCGGAAUUCCUGGUGUAGCGGUGAAAUGCGUAGAUAUCAGGAGGAACACCUGCGGUGUAGACGGCUUUCUGGACCAUUACUGACACUGAGACACGAAAGCGUGGGUAGCAAACAGGAUUAGAUACCCUGGUAGUCCACGCCCUAAACGAUGCAUACUUGGUGUGAGCCAUUCAGUUGGUUCGUGCCGGAGCUAACGCGUUAAGUAUGCCGCCUGGGGAGUACGGUCGCAAGGCUGAAACUCAAAGAAAUUGACGGGGGCCCGCACACAAGCGGCGGAGCAUGUUGCUUAAUUCGACGCAACGCGAAGAACCUUACCAAGGUUUGACAUCGCCCGGAAAGCCUCAGAGAUGAGGCCCUCUUCGGACUGGGUGACAGGUGGUGCAUGGCUGUCGUCAGCUCGUGUCGUGAGAUGUUGGGUUAAGUCCCGCAACGAGCGCAACCCUUGUUCCAUGUUGCCAGCAACACCUUUCGGGGUGGUUGGGGACUCAUGGGAGACUGCCGGGGUCAACUCGGAGGAAGGUGGGGAUGACGUCAAGUCAUCAUGCCCCUUAUGUCUUGGGCUGCAAACAUGCUACAAUGGCCGGUACAGAGGGUUGCGAUACCGC
rnacentral:rRNA from 1 species